rnacentral:rRNA from 1 species
AGUGAACGCUGGCGACAGGCCUAACACAUGCAAGUCGAGCGGCAGCGCGGGGGCAACCCUGGCGGCGAGCGGCGGACGGGUGAGGAAUGCGUCGGAAUCUGCCUCUUUGUGGGGGAUAACGUAGGGAAACUUACGCUAAUACCGCAUACGACCUACGGGUGAAAGUGGGGGACCUUCGGGCCUCACGCAGAGAGAUGAGCCGACGCCGGAUUAGCUAGUUGGCGGGGUAAAGGCCCACCAAGGCGACGAUCCGUAGCUGGUCUGAGAGGAUGAUCAGCCACACUGGAACUGAGACACGGUCCAGCCUCCUACGGGAGGCAGCAGUGGGGAAUAUUGAACAAUGGGCGCAAGCCUGAUCCAGCCAUGCCGCGUGUGUGAAGAAGGCCUUCGGGUUGUAAAGCACUUUUGUCCGGAAAGAAAAGCUUCCGAUUAAUACUCGGGAGUCAUGACGGUACCGGAAGAAUAAGCACCGGCUAACUUCGUGCCAGCAGCCGCGGUAAUAC